CGGGAUGCUGCACCAGUGGGGAAUAUUGCACAAUGGAGGAAACUCUGAUGCAGCAACGCCGCGUGGAGGAUGACACUUUUCGGAGCGUAAACUCCUUUUAUAUAGGAAGAAGAUGACGGUACUAUAUGAAUAAGCGCCGGCUAACUCCGUGCCAGCAGCCGCGGUAAUACGGAGGGCGCAAGCGUUACUCGGAAUCACUGGGCGUAAAGAGCGUGUAGGCGGAUUAAAAAGUCAGAAGUGAAAUCCUAUAGCUUAACUAUAGAACUGCUUCUGAAACUCUUAAUCUAAAAUAUGGGAGAGGUAGAUGGAAUUUCUGGUGUAGGGGUAAAAUCCGUAGAGAUCAGAAGGAAUACCGAUUGCGAAGGCGAUCUACUAGAACAUUAUUGACGCUGAGACGCGAAAGCGUGGGGAGCAAACAGGAUUAGAUACCCGUGUAGUC
rnacentral:rRNA from 1 species